rnacentral:rRNA from 1 species
UGGGGAAUUUUGGACAAUGGGCGAAAGCCUGAUCCAGCAAUGCCGCGUGUGUGAAGAAGGCCUUCGGGUUGUAAAGCACUUUUGUCCGGAAAGAAAUCCUUGGCUCUAAUACAGUCGGGGGAUGACGGUACCGGAAGAAUAAGCACCGGCUAACUACGUGCCAGCAGCCGCGGUAAUACGUAGGGUGCAAGCGUUAAUCGGAAUUACUGGGCGUAAAGCGUGCGCAGGCGGUUUGCUAAGACCGAUGUGAAAUCCCCGGGCUCAACCUGGGAACUGCAUUGGUGANUGGCAGGCUAGAGUAUGGCAGAGGGGGGUAGAAUUCCACGUNUAGCAGUGAAAUGCGUAGAGAUGUGGAGGAAUACCGAUGGCGAAGGCAGCCCCCUGGGCAAGUACUGACGCUCAUGCACGAAAAGCGUGGGGAGCAAACAGGAUUAGAUACCCCUGGUAGUCCACGCCCUAAACGAUGUCAACUAGUUGUUGGGGAUUCAUUUCCUUAGUAACGUAGCUAACGCGUGAAGUUGACCGCCUGGGGAGUACGUCGCAAGAUUAAAACUCAAAUGAAUUGAC